ensembl:lncRNA
AAAAGUCCAGUCUUAAAAAAAACCCAUACCUUGUCUCUUGGGCACCAGUGCCUCUCCUGGCUUGACCCAUCUCUCCCUUGAGGUGUUCUGUUCUUUCCUUAAUAAACUUGUUUUUGCCAUGGGUAAGACCUCAGAUUCUUCUCCUCGUCCUUACCGAGAAUUGAGGCCUGCGAGAGAGGAUCCUCUUCGACCCUCCCUUACCAGCAACAUAUAUAACAUACAUACAAAGUGGCCAAAUACAUACAUAAUGAUAGACGUUUGGUCUUCAUUCACAGUUUCUGGCUCACAACUUCCAAAACCCUUGAAAUUUCCUGAUUGAUAAGGGUAAAAAAGGUAACGUUUGGUCCCUUAACAUUCAGUUGCAGAUAAAGCUUCAGGGAAGGUGACUUUUGGUUUCCAUCAAAGGACGGGGGUUGGCUACCAGGAAAACCAACCCUGUGAUUAGACAGAACUUUCAGUCCCACCUCCGGGACUGGAGGUGGAACCCAUCAAUCAAUCGUGACUAUGUAAUAAAGCCUCUUUAAAAACUCAAAAGGACCACGCUUGCCCUUUUUCAGGAAGUUUCUGUGAGGGAAACCAGAAUACCUCAUAUGCCACACAGAGCUUCUUUGUCCAGGACCUCACCCCAUGCAUCUCUUCAUCUGGUGAUUUAUCCAUAUCCUUUAAUAGUCUUUUAUAAUAAGUGGGCAAUUAGUGAGUAAACAAGCUUUCCUGAGUUCCACUAGUUGUUCCAGCAAAUUAAUCAAAACCAAGGAGGAGACUGUGAGAACCUCUGGUUUGCAGCCAGUAGAUCAGCAGCACAGGGAAACAACUUGGGCUUGAAACUGGUGUUGGAAAUGAAGGGUGGCCUUAUGUAAGAGACUGAGCCCUUCACCUAAGGAAUCUGACUCUAUUUCUGGGUAGGUAGUGUCAGAACUGAGUUAAAUUCUAGGAUACUGUUGGCAUCACAAAAUUGUUUGUUACUGUACUGAAGCCUACACACAUACACACACACACACACACAUGCACUGAUACUUGGUCCAGGAACCCUUUGCAGCUAUCCUCACUUAAUGUUUCGUAAAAAAAAAAUAUAUAUAUAUAAGAAUUCUAUACUCUCACUUCUCCUUUCUUGCAUAUUUUCAUUUCCCAAGAAGAAAUGGUCUCUUUUAAGGUUUUUCUCCAUCUAGGUCCUUGACGCUGCUAUUUUCUGUGGUCUUGGACUCUGUUAGUUACACCUUUCCAACUUCCAAUCACUGUUUAUAUAUUUCUUCUGGCUCUCUUUCCUCUAUAUUCCUAAAAAUAAAAUUUCCAAGUUCCAGCAAUUGCUCAUGUUAUCACCCCACUCUCCAUUUCUCUUACAAAAUGUUCUGUCUCCCUUCCCCUCACUUCCAAACUCCUUGGAAAAGACGUCCAUCACCUCUGCAUGACCCAAAUUGCUUCCAUUUAGUUCACCAAAGAUCUUUUAAGUGAAAAAUCUGAUGAUGUUUUCCCAUUCUUAUUUGUACUGAAUUGUGAACUGAACUACUAAAAUAUUCUACCACCCAACUCAAAUUCAUUAAGUAGGUUUUUAGGACAUUCAUCUCAUGAUUUGCCUCCUACUUCUUCAUUUCUUCUAAGUUUCCAUCACUGUGUCUUCUUCAACCAUGUGUCAUUUUUAUUAGUUAUUACCCCCAGAUCCUUCCAAGUCUUUUCCUGACCCAAACUCACUUGAAGGAAAAUUAAUCCAAUUCCACAAAUUUAGUUAUCAUGAUCUCUGUGUAUACAAUCCCACAAUGACCUCUAAGAUACUAGACUUAAUUCUUCAGAGUUCAAACACUUGAGCACAUUUUCAAAAUGUCUCACAGCUUUGUCAUCCCUUUAUAUUUUCAUUUCCUUUUGUUGGAACUAUCCAGAGUUGGCAAGCUGAGAAGGCUGGAUUUCAAUCACCAACUUGUUUCUUAGCCAAAGAAUUUAUAUAGUGCAUAAAAUAAAACCACUUCUGUUUUUCCAGUCCUACUCAGGUACCCUUUCUGGUUGCCUACUCUCAACCUGAAGAGACAAUACUUCAACCGAGACAACCCCUUACGCCCAGGCUCUUCUCUCUCCACUAGGUUUCCAGCCAUUCAGCUUUGUUGUAUUCCACUGCUGGGUGGGUUCCAGGAGUUUCACAUCAAGAAUAGAGGGAAGGACAGAGCAUAAAGGGUCCCUCAAGCUGGAUUAUUAAAAAUAGAGUCAGACCUUCCACACUUUCAGGAUUCAUAUCCUGCUAUCAUCUCGAUUUUCCUGGACUUGAUUUCUGUUCUUGUAGCUGGGUGACCUUGGAUAAAUUAAUCCAGCCCCCUUCUGCAACUUAGUUUCCUCCAUUGUAAAAAAUGCAGGUAAUAAUAGUACAUAACUCAUGGGUUUGUGAAGGGAUUAAAUACAUUGAUUCACAUAAAGCACUUAGAAGUAUGCCUGGCAGAAAAUAAG